AAGAAACCAACAGGGAUUGCCCCAGUAGCGGCGAGUGAAGCGGCAAGAGCUCAGAUUUGAAAUCGUGUUUCGGCACGAGUUGUAGAGUGUAGGCGGGAGUCUCUGUGGAGCGCGGUGUCCAAGUCCCUUGGAACAGGGUGCCUGAGAGGGUGAGAGCCCCGUAGGGUGCUGCGCGAAGCUUUUGAGGCCCUGCUGACGAGUCGAGUUGUUUGGGAAUGCAGCUCCAAGCGGGUGGUAAAUUCCAUCUAAGGCUAAAUAUUGGCGAGAGACCGAUAGCGAACAAGUACUGUGAAGGAAAGAUGAAAAGCACUUUGAAAAGAGAGUGAAACAGCACGUGAAAUUGUUGAAAGGGAAGGGUAUUGGGCUCGACAUGGGGGGUGCGCACCGCUGUCUCUUGUAGGCGGCGCUCUGGGCGCCCUCUGGGCCAGCAUCGGUUCCUGCUGCGGGAGAAGGGGCUCCGGAAAGUGGCUCUUCGGAGUGUUAUAGCCGGGGCCAGAUGCCGCGUGUGGGGACCGAGGACUGCGGCUUCUGUCUCGGAUGCUGGCAUAGCGGCGCAAUACCGCCCGUCUUGAAACACGGACC
rnacentral:rRNA from 1 species